UACGGAGGGGGCUAGCGUUGUUCGGAAUUACUGGGCGUAAAGCGCGCGUAGGCGGACCUGCAAGUCGGGGGUGAAAGCCCGGGGCUCAACCUCGGAACUGCCUUCGAUACUGCGGGUCUCGAGUCCGGGAGAGGUGAGUGGAAUUCCUAGUGUAGAGGUGAAAUUCGUAGAUAUUAGGAAGAACACCAGUGGCGAAGGCGGCUCACUGGCCCGGUACUGACGCUGAGGCGCGAAAGCGUGGGGAGCGAACAGG
rnacentral:rRNA from 1 species